GACGAACGCUGGCGGCGUGCUUAACACAUGCAAGUCGAACGGAAAGGCCCUGCUUUUGUUGCGUGCUCGAGUGGCGAACGGGUGAGUAACACGUGAGUAACCUGCCCUUGACUUUGGGAUAACUUCAGGAAACUGGGGCUAAUACCGGAUAGGAGCUCCUGCUGCAUGGUGGGGGUUGGAAAGUUUCGGCGGUUGGGGAUGGACUCGCGGCUUAUCAGCUUGUUGGUGGGGUAGUGGCUUACCAAGGCUUUGACGGGUAGCCGGCCUGAGAGGGUGACCGGCCACCAUGGGACUGAGAUACGGCCCAGACUCCUACGGGAGGCAGCAGUGGAGAAUAUUGCAGAAUGGGCGGAAGCCUGAUGCAGCAAUGCCGCGUGCGGAAUAACGGGCUUCGGGUUGUAAACCGAUUUCGCAUGUGACGAAGCGUGAUUGACGGUAAUGGGUAAAGAAGCACCGGCUAACUACGUG
rnacentral:rRNA from 1 species